AGUCGAACGGAAUCUUCGGAUUUAGUGGCGGACGGGUGAGUAACGCGUGAGAAUCUGCCUUUAGGUUCGGGACAACAGUUGGAAACGACUGCUAAUACCGAAUGUGUCGCAAGAUAAAGGAUUUAUUGCCUAAAGAUGAGCUCGCGUCUGAUUAGCUAGUUGGUGGGGUAAAAGCGUACCAAGGCGACGAUCAGUAGCUGGUCUGAGAGGAUGAUCAGCCACACUGGGACUGAGACACGGCCCAGACUCCUACGGGAGACAGCAGUGGGGAAUUUUCCGCAAUGGGCGAAAGCCUGACGGAGCAACGCCGCGUGAGGGAGGAAGGCUUUUGGGUUGUAAACCUCUUUUCUCAAGGAAGAUAGUGACGGUACUUGAGGAAUCAGCAUCGGCUAACUCCGUGCCAGCAGCCGCGGUAAUACGGAGGAUGCAAGCGUUAUCCGGAAUAAUUGGGCGUAAAGCGUUCGUAGGUGGUUUUGUAAGUCUGCUGUUAAAGCGUGUAGCUCAACUACAUAUAGGCAGUGGAAACUACAAAACUUGAGUGCGUUCGGGGCAGAGGGAAUUCCUGGUGUAGCGGUGAAAUGCGUAGAGAUCAGGAAGAACACCGGUGGCGAAGGCGCUCUGCUAGGCCGCAACUGACACUGAGGGACGAAAGCUAGGGGAGCGAAUGGGAUUAGAUACCCCAGUAGUCCUAGCUGUAAACGAUGGAUACUAGGCGUUGUCUGUAUCGACCCGGACAGUGCCGUAGCUAACGCGUUAAGUAUCCCGCCUGGGGAGUACGCACGCAAGUGUGAAACUCAAAGGAAUUGACGGGGGCCCGCACAAGCGGUGGAGUAUGUGGUUUAAUUCGAUGCAACGCGAAGAACCUUACCAAGGCUUGACAUGUCCGGAACUUCUGGGAAACUAGAAGGUGCCUUCGGGAGCCGGAACACAGGUGGUGCAUGGCUGUCGUCAGCUCGUGUCGUGAGAUGUUGGGUUAAGUCCCGCAACGAGCGCAACCCUCGUCUUUAGUUGCCAGCACUUAGGGUGGGCACUCUAGAGAGACUGCCGGUGACAAACCGGAGGAAGGUGGGGAUGACGUCAAGUCAUCAUGCCCCUUACGUCUUGGGCUACACACGUACUACAAUGCUAUGGACAAAGAGCAGCCAGCCAGCGAUGGUGCGCUAAUCUCAUAAACCAUGGCUCAGUUCAGAUUGCAGGCUGCAACUCGCCUGCAUGAAGUAGGAAUCGCUAGUAAUUGCAGGUCAGCAUACUGCAGUGAAUUCGUUCCCGGGCCUUGUACACACCGCCCGUCACACCAUGGAAGUUGGUCACGCCCGAAGUCGUUACCCUAACCUUUUUGGAGGGGGACGCCGAAGGUAGGACUGAUGACUGGGGUGAAGUCGUAACAAGGUAGCCGUACCGGAAGGUGUGGCUGGAUCACCUCCUUUUUAGGGAGACCUACCCACUCAUACACCGAGCAUUGAUAUAGGUGAUGAUUGUGGUCAUCCCAAGGUCGUUCGUAGAUUUGGUAAUAUUGUGGCUUUCAAACAAUUAUAGGUUCGGUAUUAUGUUCGUACCUAUGGGCUAUUAGCUCAGGUGGUUAGAGCGCACCCCUGAUAAGGGUGAGGUCCCUGGUUCGAGUCCAGGAUGGCCCACCUGAACAAGUAAAAAGUCAAAAGUAAAGAAUUUAUUUCUUUGAAUUUUGACUUCUAACUUUUGAAUUGUUUUUGGGGGGUAUAGCUCAGUUGGUAGAGCGCUGCCUUUGCAAGGCAGAUGUCAGCGGUUCGAGUCCGCUUACCUCCACCAAAUUCACGAUAAAUAUUAAUAUUGGAAAAUUUCAGCACCCAGACUUACAUAAUAUAAGAUUAAAAGAGUCGGAAUGCUGGAUUGUAAUCCAGUCAGAACCUUGAAAACUGCAUAUUCACGCGAUAGAUAAUUGUUGUAGGUAGUACUUAAUUUAUGAACUAUUAAUGUAGUGAGUGAAUUAGGUGUGAAUCCAACAAAUCCUAUUUUGUAAUUUUUGAUUGUAUUGGAAUCAAUGU
rnacentral:rRNA from 1 species